UUUUUUAAUUGAAAACUUGUAUGAAGGGUUGAACGAAAUGUAAGCUGUAUCAAAAAAAUUAUUAUAGAAAUUAACUUUUUAGUAAAAAGGCUAAAAUAAAAUUUAAAGACGAGAAGACCCUAUAGAGUUUAAUAAUAAAUUUAAUAAUAUUUAUUUAUAUAAUUUUAAAUUUUAUAAUUUUUAUUAUUUUAUUGGGGUGAUAGUAAAAUUUAUAAAACUUUUAUUUUUUAAUUACAUUGAUUUAUGAAUUAUUGAUCCAGUUUUAUUGAUUAAAAGAUUAAAUUACCUUAGGGAUAACAGCGUAAUUUUUUUGUAGAGUUCUUAUCGAUAAAAAAUUUUGC
rnacentral:rRNA from 1 species